AGUGAACGCUGGCGGUAGGCCUAACACAUGCAAGUCGAACGGCAGCACAGUAAGAGCUUGCUCUUACGGGUGGCGAGUGGCGGACGGGUGAGGAAUACAUCGGAAUCUACUUUUUCGUGGGGGAUAACGUAGGGAAACUUACGCUAAUACCGCAUACGACCUACGGGUGAAAGCAGGGGAUCUUCGGACCUUGCGCGAUUGAAUGAGCCGAUGUCGGAUUAGCUAGUUGGCGGGGUAAAGGCCCACCAAGGCGACGAUCCGUAGCUGGUCUGAGAGGAUGGUCCGCCACUGGGGCUGAGAGACGCGCUACAGACUCACAGGGGGGGCCGGAGUGGAGGAUAGGGGAAAGGGGGCGAAAGUGAGACACCGCCACCCCGCGGGUGAAGAGAAGCCUCGGGGGGUGUAACGCCCUUUUGGUGGGAAAAAAACGCCGCGUGUUAACACCCCUGUUCUGACGGGACCCAAAAAAAAAGCACCGCCUAACUCCGUG
rnacentral:rRNA from 1 species